CUUCAGAGCUGGUUAAUCCAAGCUGUGGAAAAGCAGCUGGUUGGGACUGAGGGGCUGGGACAAAGGGAGAAGAUUGGUUUAGAGAACAGAGCACUGGAUAGUGACACAGGAAACACAGUUGUCCUUGCCCUACCUGGGUAGAGUCUCUUGUCAUUUGACUAAGCUUCCUCAUCUGGGAACAAAAACUCGAGGUGGAGGCAUUUGUAAAGUUUGUUUUUAAGGGAAGCUUUGAGCAGUGGCUCAUCCUGAGCACUCCAUCAGACUUGUUCUCCACCCACAGGCAGGGGCUGAUGGUCAUUUGGCUGGUCAUUGUCUCCCUGCUUCUCGGCUCACUCUACUUUCUUUGCACCACCCAGCAGAGAAGGGUUUAGGCACUGAAAAAACUUGAGGCUUGCCUGAGUUGCAGCUGACUGUUGUUUUUGUCCCACACCUGCAGGGAAUCCUCUGUCCAGGAAAGGAGCUGGUGUGAGGGACAGAUCCAACAGAGCGCUGCAGGAAGAUGUUGGAAGCCAGCUGGAGCACAGCUCCCAGCAGAGUGUAGGCAGUUCUUUGCUGUUCUCUGUUCUUCCACUAUGCCCUUAGCUCCCAGUGAGUUGUAAAUAAAGCUGGGAUCUGCAAGGCCUGGCUUCUCAUGCCUGCAGGUUCUCAAAGGUGUCUGAACAGGAAUGCUGCUGUCUUGUCCCCACCUCUCCAUGUGGGAGAUGAGAGUGGGCCUUUUCCUUGUCCCCCCCUCUCUGCUGUCCUUUCACGUGUGACCUUCAGGAAGUGCUGUGUGUUUUGACAUAAACCAACUGCUUGGGCACACUGGCUUGCUUGGGCUUUCUGUGGGCUGAUGCCUCCAGGCAUUGGUUUAAGCAUUGCUUGACUAGUGGAUGAUGUUACAUGUGCCAGACUGGCUUCAAGAACCUACCAAAACUGAUGGAGCCAGCCAGCCUGACCCAGAGCUGAGCCAUGCAGUUUUUGUGGCACAGCUGUACCACUGAUGCUAAACGAUGGAACCACCAGGGCAGGAGGAAGCUGAGGUUUCUCUGGGCACGGUGGAACACAGGUGGGGCUGGGCCUCACAGCAUCACCCAGUUACUUCAGCCAAGCCUCUGCAUGUUAUGCUGCACCCACCACGAUCCAGAGCCAUGACACUGUAACACAUCACCUGGUGACUGCUAGCACAGGCUGUGACUGAUGCUGGCCUGUGUGGCCCCUCUCGACAACCACCCUCACAGUGCUGGUGCCAGGGCCACCUGAGCCCCCUUGUCUCCAGGAUGGGUAAGCCAAGGUCCCACAGCCCCACGUUACAAGCUGUGUACACCAGACCCUCUCCACCUUGGGGGUCCCUGGGACUUGAUUCAGUUUAGCACCGUAUUUCUUGUCAUGAGAGAACUACAAUUGCAGGCACAGUUGGAAAUGUGGUGGGCAAGAGCUGAGCAGGAAACAACGCUGCUCUCCACCUACUGGCCAUGCCACGUGGUCAGUUGCCACCAUCCUCACUGCCCAGGUACAGUGCUCCUGUGGCCCUAAGGAAGGCAUCUAGGAUGGCAGUGGCUGUUAGUGGGAAGUUCUAGGAUGAGGAACAACCAAAGACCAAGCUUGUGGCACAGCAGGGCAGUGAGUUCCUGUUGGAAAGAGGUUCCCCUCACUGCCCCCCUUUGGGUGAACCUUGGCUCAAGCAGCUCAUUUCUGCACAAUUCUGGGUCUCCACCAUUGUGGUUGAAUCCCAGGUGGUAACUAAACACCACACAGCCACUUGCUCACCCCCCAUCUCUUCCUCUUUUCUCCCCUGGGGAACAGGAGAUUGGGAAAAAUAAAAGUAACUUUGCAGGCUGAGAUACGAACAAAACAAGGUAUAAAGGCAUCUCUCAAAUUCCUGAACUUCCAGGUGAGCAUUGGGAGAGCAGAAUCCCUCUCACUGCCAGAGUCAAGGAUCCCGUGAGGGAACUGAUUGGCACAAGUCUGUGGGGCCUGAUGAGAUGCCCUCCAAGAUCCUGAGGGAACGGGCUGAUGGCAUUGCCAAGCCUCUCCCAACCCUAAUUUAAAACUCACAGAAAGUCCCUGGGGAGUGCAACUAGGGAAAUAAUUUUCCUAGUUUUAAAAAAGGGAGAAAGGAAGACCCAGGGAACUACAGACCAGCGAGUCUCACUGUCUGUGCCUGGGAAAAUCAUGGAAGCAAUGUUAGGACACAUGACAGACAAGGAGGUGACCUGAGACAGUUUAAAAGACAAGUGUCUGCCAAAGAAGUCAGGAACCUUCCUGGGAUGGAAAAUAUGUCCCCCUCUUCCCUCCAAAUUACUAUAAUUUUGAAAUUAUGGGUUUUUCAGGCAAAGAUGGGAAAAGGAAUAGCAGUUCUUUACGUGUUUGUGUGUGUGUGUGUGUAACGAGGCAAACAAACAACAGCAAACAACAAACAGACACAGAGACCCAGUGCCAGCCUUCCCCCGGCUGCAGGCACCUUCCCCUUUGGUGCAGUUCCGGGCACAGCCGGCAGGGGCGCUGCUGGCUCCCGGCCGGGCAGGGCAGGUGCGGUGAUUCCCCCGCAGCUGCAGGGGGCGCUGUGGCCCAGCUCGGCCGCCUCUCUCUAUGUGGCAAUGGCGACUCAGGUGGUGGGAGAGAGAGAAAAAGACUCCCUUGUGGAACUCACGGGGGCAGCUGGUGCCACUGCCACUCCGGGUGGCAGGCUGGACUGCUGCAAUAGCCUUGGAGCAGCAGGCUGGAACAGCAGCGGUGAGAACACUUGGGGUGGAAAACUGUGUGGAUUUGGCACAGCCUGGUUUUUGGUAGCGAGGGAGGGUCACAGAAGUAGCUUCUGUGAGAAGCUGCUAGAAGCUUCCACCAUGUCCAACAGAGUCAAUCUCUGAUGUGUCUGAAAAUGGACAUGCUACUGGGCCAGUUAGAGAGGUUGGUCAUGCUCUGUGAUAUAUUUAAAAAGGAAAUCAAAACAGGGCACAGGCAGUUUUUUUCGAGGGGUGAUGAGGCACCGCCACCAGGGCCAUCGUGGCACAAACUGUGGCAGUUGCCACCGUAGCUGCCGUCACCUUGGCGUGGCUGCAUUGAGCCUUGCCUGCCUGGUUCCCCCUAGCAGGCUGUGCUGCAGGCAGAAGGGCAGGAGCGGUGGCAGCUUCUCCUUCCUGGCUCCCCGCAUGAAGAGAGGUGUUAAAUACUGCCAGCGCUGCAGGGGCUGGCACUGCCCACCCAGUGCUAGCAGGGCUGCCUGGCAGAAACAUGGCAAACUGCCCAGUGCAGACCCUAGAGGAGAUCAACUUCUCAGCGCUGUGAAAUGCUGCAGGAACCUUUGAAUUAGUGGAACUUGUUGGCAAUGGUAUCUAUGAGCAGCAGUUUUUCUUCUAGUCAGGGAAGAGGCGAAGUGAGGACAUGUGAAGAAGAACAAUAUAGCAGCACCAAGGUCAAUGGAAAAGAAAGAGGGGGAGGAAAUGCUCCAAGCAUCAGAGCCGAGAUGCCUCUGCAAGCUGUGGUGAAGACUAUGGUGAGACAAACUGUCAUCCUGUAAUGUAUGAAGUCCACGGGGGAUGUGGAGAUCCACUUGCAGCCUGUGGGAAAAGUGCUCACGCCAGAGCGGGUGGAUGCCAGAGAAAGCUGUGAUCCAGUGGGAGACCUGAAUAGAGAGAGAGGGCCCAUGCUUCCAUAGAUAGAUAGAGAGUCCUUGCUUCCAAACUAGAGCAGUCUCUCCUUAAAAAACUGCACCCCGUGGACGAGUGACUCUCCCCACAACAGUUUUGGGAAAACUGCCUGUGGGACGGAUCCCAUGGCAUAGCAGGGGGAUUCCAUUACCUAAGCAAACAGAAAAAUAUCCCAGGUGAGGAACUGACCAAAACCCCAAUGCCCUAUCUCCCUGAGCUGUCAGUGGGAAGGAAGGAGGGGCUGGGGGAGAUAAAGGUGUUUUAAAGGCUUAAUUUACU